rnacentral:lncRNA from 1 species
UCUCAGCUCACUGCAACCUCUGCCUCCCAGGUUCAAGCGAUUCUCCUGCCUCAGCCUCCGAGUAGCUGAGAUUAUGGGUGCCCGCCACCACAUGCAGCUAAUUUUUUUUGUAUUUUUAGUAGAGACGGGGUUUCACCAUGUUGGCCAGGCUGGUCUUGAACUCCUGACCUCAGAUGAUCCACCCGCCUUGGCCUCCCAAAGUGCUGGGAUUACAGGCGGGAGCCACCGCGCCCGGCCAUGUUUUAUUUAUUUAUUUAUUUAUUUUUUAAGGUCAUGAUUGUAUUAGUCCAUUCUCACACUUCUGUGUGAGAACUGCCGGAGACUGGGUAAUUUAUAAAGGAAAGAGUUUUAAUUGACUUGCAGUUCCACAUGGCUUGGGAGGCCUCAGGAAACUUACAAUCAUGGUGCAAGGCAAAGGGGAAGCAAGGCACCUUCCUCACAAGGCAGCAGGAGGAAGUACCAAACACUUAAAAUACCAUCAGAUCUUGUGAGAACUCACUCACUAUCAUGAGAACAGCAUGGGGGAAACAGCCCCCAUGAUUCAAUUCCCUCCACCUGGUCUCUCCCUUGACAUAUGGGGAUUACAAUUCAAGAUGAGAUUCUGGGUGGGACACAGCCAAACCAUAUCAAUGGUCAUGUACUACAUUUAGAAUUUUGGAAGGUAUUUAUGGCGGGAUACUGAAACUGUUUUCACGUACCACAGCAGAGUCUGAAGGGCUCAGUUUGAAGAACUGGAUUCCCAACCUCAGGAUCGAUUUGGCCAUAUGGGAGGUCAGCUGGAGAUGAGGGAGACUGAAAAUUGGAGAUAACCCCAGAGAUGACGGGCAGGUUACCCUCUGUCCUCAGAUGGGAGGGGAGGUGGCUGGGGAAAGGAUUCCAACUCUGAGUUCUAUUGUGGGAAGGUGAGCAGAGUCAAGCUCUGUGGCUCAGUGGAACUUAUUCCUGCCCACAAGCUCAACAUCUCCACCUCUGCCCCCAGCAGUGGAGUUAUGACAGCAAAGGAGACAAGGUGAAUAGGGAUCACCCCAGAGGAUCAGUAUGGGAUGAGGCCAGCCGGUGAAUCACCCACGCUCCCAAGGAACCCACGCCACAGGAACACACACCUCCAGGUUUCUCCCAUCUCCGUAAGAUCUUGAGGACCUUCAACAGCACUUCAGCAAAAAACAUUUUCAGGUUUCCUCAGAACUCAGAUAACGUGUCACUCUAGUCACCCUGAAGAUUUGCCUCUUGAAAACAUAAUCGCCGUGCAGUAAAGAGGAGACCAAAAUAGAACCACAUACAGCUGCCGAAAAGUGCUGAAGAAUAUGGCGCUAAGGAGAGAAAGACACCACUAGCCAAAGGCAAGUGGAUCAAAAAGCAACCCCCUACAUUGGACAUUCUUGUUAUUUUGUUGUGGUGGUGGUGGUGGUGGUGGUGGUCAUUGUUGCUGUUGUUGAUACAGGGACCUGUCUAAAUUCUAUAGUAUUUAAUACUGUAUUCAACAAAUAUUUACUGUUGAAUAUUUAUUGAAUACAAUAUUCAACACUAUGUGCCAGGCAUGAUAGAGGCCUGGACUGAGUAGCGACUCUUUGGUAUGAACCAGAUAUAACUUGCACGAUGUUUCACAAGCUGGUUUGGAUGUUAUUAGCUUAGUGUGUCAUUUACCCCAUCCCUACUCACACCCGAAACAUGAUAUUUUGUGGAGCUAAAAAAAAAUACCUCAAACAAAUCACUUCCUCAAACGGCAACCUAAUCUCUGCUUCCUUAUGGCGGGGUCUCUUGACUUGCUUACACUUCCCCACUUUCUACUGGUUCCUCAAAUAACUGAAGUCGGUUCACAUCAUUCCACUGAAACUGCCUUUCUAAUUGCAAAAUCUAAAGAGUCCUUUCCAAUACUUAUUUCAAACAGGCGUCUCUGGGUCUUUUUCAAACUCCCUCCCACUAAUGCCUUUCAGGCAUCCUCCCCAGCUUAGCCUCCCCUGGGACCAGCUUCCUGCCAGUCCUGAAAUGCCCACAUACACGGGGAAGAUUCCUGCUUCCACAUGACCAGCCCCCAGUGACAUCUCCCUCAGACUCCAGACCUCGUCUUUUUUUCUUUUUCUUUUUUCUUUUUUUUUUUUUGAGACAGGGUCUCACUCUGCCACCCAGGCUGGAGCGCAGUGGCGCAAUCUCGGCUCACUGCAACGUCCACCUCUGAGGCUCAAGCAAUCGUCCCUCCUCAGCUUCCUGAGUAGCUGGGACUAUAGGCAUGCUCCACCAGGACCAGCUAAUUUUUUUUUUUUUUUUUUACUUUUUGAAGAGACGGGGUUUCGCCAUGUUUCCCAGGCUAAUCUCGAACUUCUGAGCUCAAGAUGCACCCACCUUGACUUCCCAAAGUGCUGGGAGUGCCUAGCCUCAGAUCAUAUCCUUUCAAAAACUUUUAGAGACCUGCACAAAAGCUUUAUAUUCUACGCUUACUCACUUUAAAAAAAAAUGUAUUAAACAUUUGCUAAGUGCUAAGUAUAAUUCUUAGUGCAUAGGAUACUACAGUGAAUAACCCAGAUGAAGAUCAACACCCUUAGAGUUUUACAUACUAGCAGAGGGAGACACUAAGAGCCGUAAAUAUAACAAAUUAAAAAAAUUAUUUGGUAUCUUAAAAGAUGCUAAGUGCUUAGAGAACAAAGUAGAGUACAAGAAAGGGGGGAUAGGGCCAGGCUCAGUGGCUCACGUCUGCAAUCCCAACACUUUGGGAGGCUGAGGUGGGCGGAUCACUUGAGGUCAGGAGUUCGAGACCAGCCUGACCAACAAGGUGAAACCCUAUCUCUACUAAAAAUACAAAAAUUAGCCAUGUGUCAUGGUGGGCACCUGUAAUCCCAGCUGCUCAGGAGGCUGAGGCAGGAGAAUCACUUGAAUCCAGGAGGUGGAGGUUGCAGUGAGCCGAGAACGUGCCACUGCACUUCAGCCUGGGUGACAGAGCGAGACCCUAUCUCAGAAAGAAAGAAAAGAGAGAGACAGAGAAAGAGAGAAAGAAAGGACGGAAGGAAGGACGG